GGCUGGAGAAGCAGAGUGUGUGUGUGAAUGGCUCAUCUGAUUUGGGAAAGUGUCCACAAACUAGGAUACUACAGUCUACCGAACAGCUUGGGCACCCCUUAGGAUUCCAUCUCCCAGUGGUGUUCAGGGUACAGCUCAGAGCAGAACCCAGACGAGGUUGUACAGAGAUUCUUAGCUGUGCAGUCAGACUGGCCUGAUGGCAUGCUGCAUCCAACUUCAGCUCAGAGUCUGGAGGCAAUAAAGACCUUGCCUGGGAGCAGCUUUCCAUUCAAUACACCCAGAGGUCAAUGGAGAAGCUGCUUCUUGACACUGAUCAACAGAAGACAGAGGCUUGCAUGACGCAGUUUGUGUAUCUGUAUGUAACAUCCGUACUGACCUGUCACUAGUGGGCCAGAAGGAAGGCGUGUAUCAAACGUGGGCGCUCUUAGUAAAACAAGACAAAACGCUAUAAUGUACUGUCUGAAAAAAAGGCAUCUCUUGAGGAAAAAGUCAACUUAAUCUAAUACAAACUUUAGCUGGAAUAAUCUACACUCUUCAACAGCUGCAGACGUGCACACAAGAGACAAUUGCCUUGUUAUGGGUGUUUUCUCACAUGUGUUAUCCUAAUUAGAGAUCCAAAUGCAAACUGCAGAAUAGUAUGUGGAUUUCUGACAUGUCCUGGAGGGCUUUGAGCCCAUAAACAAUUGAUGGAGACAGGCAUCACUAUAGUAUUUCUUCAGUGAAAGAUAUAAUCGUGCUCCAGUAUUGUUCAUGUUAUUAUGUAAAGGGAACUGUACCUACUUCUUUCAAACCAGCUCUCUGACCUUGCAGAGGAAAAGAAGCCUGUUUAAGCAUAAACAAACUGACAGUUAGUUAAUCUUCUCUCCUCCCACUCAAUUCAGUGCUCAGGAACUAACAUCAAUAUUGACCUUGGCACUGGACAUAAGGAGUGAGCGUGGGGUUCUCAUUACCUUCGUUCUCAUUUUGUAACAGAGCCCAUUGACACAUGAGUCCUUAUGGGCCAGAUGGGCCAGUGCUCCAAGCAACAGUAAAUGAGAGCUAGCACCAAGUGACCAGAAGUUAGAGAAAAGGAGCCACAGAUGAGUCAAGUUUGGAUUUGACAUGAUGGAUUGUGAAUCUAGUCAUGAAUACUAAUUGCCAAAGGUGGCGUUUUGCACCGCUGCAGCUGGUUAGGAUUCUGACUCCUGGGACCUGUGAACAGUGGGGUGCCUAGCUGCUCCCUGGCUUCUGCACCACUGUGCCUCCUGCAUUCCGACAUGUAAAAAGUGCGCUGGAAGAGACUGAACUUUAUGUCCUGUCCUCAGUCACAUGACCUGGAGCAGGGUCACAAAGGUCAAUAUCCCUGGAGGGCUGUAACCACUUAUUAGACAAUCCAUAUAUGAUAGGUGCAGUAUACACCACAUCAAUGGGUAGUAUGUGCAUGGUUUCAAUAUACCUUAUAUAUGUAUGUGCGUUGGGAAGUUAACUGAAUAUAUUAUGCUCCUCGCACAAUUCUAUUUACCUAUGUUAUGUAUUCCACAACACUUUGCAAAGCUGAGGUCAGCUUUGACAACAGAAAAUAGGAAGCCUGUCAAAGCCAAGAUACAUGAAUGGUGUGCCCUAGCACAGGCUGUAGCUAUACAGCCAACUGUUUGGAAUGUGGCAUACAAAACUGAGCUAAGGAAAGGUACAGACCAGCAUGUUAAGGAAUUAGUGGCUUGGAUCUUAGAUGAGCUAUAAAGUGCUCUUUAACUUGUAAAAAGCCAUGACAUAAAUAUAAGUUGUUUUGGGGGAAGAGUCUUCGAAGCAUACCUUCUGUGUAAGGUGAACAUCCUGCAAGACAAGAAUUGCUUCCCAGACAGAGGGUAUGUAUGUCUCCUUUUUGUUUUGUCUUUAGAUGGUAAAUUUGGCUAAGUUUGGUUAGUUGGUCUCUUGAACAUUCUUAAUAAUGAACGCAAGCAUAUUCAAUCUGUUGGCUAUACUAUUAAUCAACACACUGACUCCAGCAGUUAGCUGCAUAAGAUACUUACAGCUUUACCUGUUUUGUGCCAGUGCUCUAGCCCUCUUGCAGAAGCUGAGGACAGGGAUUUUACCUCAGGCCUUUAGGGACCCAGCUGCAACAUUUCAGUUGUGAUCCAGGGCAACCAAAAGAGCAAAUUUAUCACUGACCGGUACACUGCUUUGUAAAUAAUUUCUCAGGUUCUCUCUCCAUCUAUUCCUAACAGA